rnacentral:tRNA from 1 species
GGCAGAGUUCGGCAAAUGCAAAAGGCUUAAGCCCUUUGGCCAGAGGUUCAAAUCCUCUCCCUAGCU